rnacentral:rRNA from 1 species
UACGUAGGGUGCGAGCGUUAAUCGGAAUUACUGGGCGUAAAGGGUUCGUAGGUGGCCAACUAAGUCAGACGUGAAAUCCCUCAGCUUAACUGGGGAACUGCGUCUGAGACUGGAUGGCUUGAGUGCAGGAGAGGAACGCGGAAUUCCUGGUGUAGCGGUGAAAUGCGUAGAGAUCAGGAAGAACAUCGGUGGCGAAGGCGCUCUGCUGGACCAUAACUGACACUCAGGGACGAAAGCUAGGGGAGCGAAUGGG